rnacentral:rRNA from 1 species
AUUGAACGCUGGCGGCAGGCAUAAAACAUGCAAGUCGAACGAGUGGCGGACGGGUGCGUAAUGUCUGGGAAACUCCCUGAUGGAGGGGGAUAACUACUGGAAACGGUAGCUAAUACCGCAUACCAUCGGAUGUGCCCAGAUGGGAUUAGCUAGUAGGUGGGGUAAAGGCUACCCUAGGCGACGAUCCCUAGCUGGUCUGAGAGGAUGACCAUCCACACUGGAACUGAGGCACGGUCCAGACUCCUACUGGAGGCAGCAGUGGGAAAUCUUGCACGAUGGGCGCAAGCCGUAUGCUGCCUUGCCGCGUGUAUGCUGAAGUCCUUCGGGUUGUAAAGUACUUUCAGCGGGGAGGCGUUACCCGCAGAAGAAGCACCGGCUAACUCCGUGCCAGCCGCCGCGGUAAUAC